rnacentral:misc_RNA from 1 species
GAUGAAGAACGUAGCGAAAUGCGAUAAGUAGUGUGAAUUGCAGAAUUCAGUGAAUCAUCGAAUCUUUGAACGCACAUUGCGCCCCUUGGUAUUCCAUGGGGCAUGCCUGUUCGAGCGUCAUUUGUACCCUCAAGCUUUGCUUGGUGUUGGGCGUCUUGUCGUAUUACGACUCGCCUUAAUACAUUGGCAGCCGGCACUUUGGCCUAGGAGCGCAGCACAUUUUGCGAUCGUAGCCCGUUGUACUGGCGUCCAUCAAGAACAUUUACCACGUUUGACCUCGGAUCAGGUAGGGAUACCCGCUGAACUUAAGCAUAUCAAUAAGCGGAGGA